UCUCCUGGAAAACGGGUGGUAAUGCCGGAUGCUCCAUCUCAUUGCAUGGUGUGUUGGGAAAGCCUUUGCGGCAUGGGAUGGGGUCGCGUCCUAUCAGCUUGAUGGCGGGGUAACGGCCCACCAUGGCUUCGACGGGUAGCCGGCCUGAGAGGGCGACCGGCCACAUUGGGACUGAGAUACGGCCCAGACUCCUACGGGAGGCAGCAGUGGGGAAUAUUGCACAAUGGGCGCAAGCCUGAUGCAGCGACGCCGCGUGAGGGAUGGAGGCCUUCGGGUUGUAAACCUCUUUUGUUAGGGAGCAAGGCAUUUUGUGUUGAGUGUACCUUUCGAAUAAGCACCGGCUAACUACGUGCCAGCAGCCGCGGUAAUACGUAGGGUGCAAGCGUUAUCCGGAAUUAUUGGGCGUAAAGGGCUCGUAGGCGGUUCGUCGCGUCCGGUGUGAAAGUCCAUCGCUUAACGGUGGAUCCGCGCCGGGUACGGGCGGGCUUGAGUGCGGUAGGGGAGACUGGAAUUCCCGGUGUAACGGUGGAAUGUGUAGAUAUCGGGAAGAACACCA
rnacentral:rRNA from 1 species